GCUCGCGAGCAGUGUGGGUGCAAUAAUUUAAUAACAUGGAUUUCUUUGCGACGCUCGCGCACGCGACGUGUCCGGCCUGGUCAGCAAAUUGCCAAAUCGCAGACGUCCAAUGUCCCACAAUCCUCCUCGCCGCCGAAGGUGACAGCAGACAGUUUAAAAAAUAUAGUGACACUUCUUACCUUACUCACAAUCAAAAAGUAUUGAGGCACUUUGAAUCAUGGUGUAUUUUUAGGUAAACCAAAGUUGUCGUCGUUGGGAUGAUGUUCAAUGCUCGUAUCGAUUGCAUGGAACCAACUAGAACCUAAUUUACGAGACGUCCCCGUUUUCCGGGGACAGUCCCCGCCUGGAGCCGUCCCCGGACAUGUCCCCGUUUUUAACCAUGCGUUAAAAACGGACCUCAAAGUGAAAUAUUUUACUUGGCAAGAAAGACCGGGCAGCAGAGCCUACCGGUUGACGUCUCAAUCGCAUUGUGUUUGUUUUGUCCAGCAGAGGGGGCUGCUCGCCAAAGCAUCUUUAAUUCACUCUUCUUCUACUAACUACGUGCUCGAGAAAGUUAUAGAGAGAACUGCUGCGGAAGACUCGUCCAGAAGCUAGCAAGUGUCAAGUGAAUCCACAACAUCACCACAAACGUCUUUUCAAGCCAGAUUGGAGAGGAAGGAGAAGGAAAAAUUAAGGGAGUAAAAAGAGUGAAGCAAGGAGAGUUUAGAAGAGUGAGGUGGAAAGGUGAAGAGAAGGAAGAAAAGAGGAGACUGAUCAGGAAGACGAUUGGAGAAGAAAAGUUGAGAGUAAGAAGAGUGACACAAGGAGAGUGAAGAAGAGCAGACAGAGGAGAUACAAUGACUCUUUCCAAGAAACGGAAAUGCACUUAUGAAAAACAUGAGAGAAUUUCCAUUUAUACGCUCAGGUCAAGACGAUAGAAUGGUUCACUGCACCCUUUGUAAUUCCUCUCUUUCAAUUGGCAGCCGGAGAAGAACGGCAGUGUAAAGUCAUCCCAAAAUGUAACCUGGAAAACAUUCUUCUCUGCCGACAACAAAUACCAACUUUGGAGGACUGAAUAGGCUGGGGAGGGUCAAUGUCCAUACCAAAGUAAAACAUUCUCUGCAGCGGGAGGUGAUUGGCUUAGGUGGUCCUGCCCACAUCAUUCAUAACACGGCCAGAACAGCUUUGGAUAUGAUGUUGAGUACCUGCUCACAAAGAUAUUUGGAUAUGUUCAUAUUUUCACUGUCAGAGUAGAGAGACUUGAAAGCCUUUUGUGAGUUUGUUGGCCAGGAGUACCAUAACAUUUUAGGACACAGCAAUGUUCGCUGGCUGUCCAUGCUCCCUGCUCUAGAAAGAGUGCUGAAAAGGUAUGUGCCAUUGAAAUCCUUUUUUCUUUCUGAAGACAAAUGCCCUGUUGUCCUGCAAACAAUGUUCGAAGAUCCACUGACUGAACUUUAGCUGGCCUUUGUCCAUGGAAACCUGACCGUAUUCAGUGGCACGAUCAAGAUGCUUGAAGGCCAGGACCACUGUGCGGUGGAGUCAGCUACAAUUCUGAGAAACGUUGAGGCAAAAUUGACUGUAAGACGUGAUGACAACUUCAUUCCAGUUUGUCAGAGGACUUCUGAGAGAGCUAGAGGAAAAUGGAGCCAUGUCUAAAGAGAGCUUUCUCAAAACAUCCCAAUCGUUCUUCACUACGGCUGUGAACUACUUGCAAGCAUGGGGAAAGCACACAGAUAAUCUAAAAGAUUUACAUCGUCUCCUUUUAAAAAGGCAACCUCAGCGUGAAGAGAUCCAGAAGGCAGCAGGCACACUGCAGGAAAAAUACCCCAAUGUGACCAUCAAUGAGGAGGCCUUGUGUGACGAGGUUACUGGCCUGCAAGAGUUCCUAAAGGGGGGAUCGCUUGAAGAAUGGAAAACGUCUGAGACACCGCUUAGUCAGAGAUGGAGCACGGUGGUUACCCACUUCAAAGAGAAUGACAUCCCGCACCCUAACCUGGCUAGAUUAGCGUCUGUUGACAUGUGCUGGAAGUAAUGCACCAGUCGAGAGAGUGUUCUCCCAAAUAAAUGCUCUAUGGACAGCAGCAAGAAAUAGGUUCACUGUUCCUACCAUCAAGGCCAUGCUUAUUGUGAAGACAAACUUCAACCUCCCCUGCCAGGAGUUCAUGGAGAAGCUGGCCAAAGACAGAAGCAAUCCUGAAGAAAAUGCAUUCUUCUGAGAAAUAUACAUAUUAGAGAUAAAAAACGCUUCUACGCGAGAUUGUGAAGGGCCCACUUCGACAAGGCCAAGGAUGAGAAGGACAUGGUCAAAGCCACUAUGAUGCAGGAGAGGAGGAAAUCUGGUCUAACCAACACACGCAGCCUUACCUCUUCCCUGACUCUCCAGGAGGAACUUCCUAUGAAAGAUAUGAAAUGUACAAGGAGUGCCUUUGAUUUGACGGCCUGCACAUGCGCAGUUCGGUGCGAGAGACCGUUAGACCCUAGGAUGUGUUUCUGUGCAUGAGUUGUGCAACGCCCCCAUGACAUUGCCUACCAGCGUGAACUGGGAUUUCUGUUGGAGAAGUAGUGUCUGUGAUCUUCAUACGGUACGAUCUUUGCUUAUACUGAAAAAAAAGAAAAGUGCCUAGUAUAGUACCAUACUAUGAUUUCUGCCAAAGGUCUGGACCUUAUGGCACAGGAGGUAGUGUGCUUGCUCUAAUUACUGGGCUGCUGAUUCAAUCCUCUUUGCUGUUGACCCUCAAAUGCUACAAUAGUGAAGCCAUGCAUUGUCUGUUUCUGAUUUCUUGUAAUUGUUUUUGCAGGUCCCUGAAUGGUGUCUAGAUCACUGGCAUCCCUCAGACGGCCAUGUAUCCUACUUUGCCAAGAGGGAGCAGUGGAAGAACCUGCGAGAACAGAGCUGGGACAGAGAGGUCCAGGAGCUGCAGGGAGUGACCCCUGCCAUUGGGCCAAGUCGGAGGCCUUACCCCCAGUCCGCAAGAACUGCGACCUGCCCCCUCUGUGGUGGCAGUACGCCACCCGCCCCAGGGAGCGCCCCGUCUUUCAGCCCCCGGAUGACACUACCUGGUAAUAACAGCAAAUGGCAGCUCACCACAGUACCUUCUACCACACAACAGCAUGCAGAUUCCCCUCCUUGUGAAUUUACUGUCCCUCUGUAAAGAUAUUGAUAUAAUGGAAUAGUUUUGGAAGAGGUUGCAGUAAGCUUUGUCAGAAGGUAUUCCACCCUGCCUGAAUUGACAGUAAUUAUUUGGUUGUAAAAGCAGGUGACUUUCAAAUGUACUGUAGCUGUUAUUUUCCCUGUACAAGGACCUCUGUUUAAAUAAAUGAAUAUAAUUUUGGGAAA